rnacentral:rRNA from 1 species
UACGUAGGGUGCAAGCGUUAAUCGGAAUUACUGGGCGUAAAGCGUGCGCAGGCGGCGGCUCAAGUCAGGUGUGAAAUUCCCGGGCUUAACCUGGGAAUUGCGCUUGAAACUAGGUCGCUAGAGUGUGGCAGAGGGGGGUGGAAUUCCACGUGUAGCAGUGAAAUGCGUAGAGAUGUGGAGGAACACCGAUGGCGAAGGCAGCCCCCUGGGUCAACACUGACGCUCAUGCACGAAAGCGUGGGGAGCAAACAGG